GAGGUUGUAGCUCAGCUGGUUAGAGCAUCAGAUUGUGGUUCUGAGGGUCGGGGGUUCGAAGCCCCUCAAUCUCC
rnacentral:tRNA from 1 species